GACGAACGCUGGCGGCGUGCCUAACACAUGCAAGUCGAACGGAAAGGCCCUGAUUUUGUGGGGUGCUCGAGUGGCGAACGGGUGAGUAACACGUGAGUAACAUGUCCUUGACUUUGGGAUAACUUCAGGAAACUGGGGCUAAUACCGCAUAGGAGCUCCUGCUGCAUGGUGGGGGUUGGUAAGUUUCGGCGGUUGGGGAUGGACUCGCGGCUUAUCAGCUUGUUGGUGGGGUAGUGGCUUACCAAGGCUUUGAAGGGUAGCCGGCCUUAGAGGCGGACCGGACACAUUGGUACUGAGAUACGGCCCAGACUCCUACGGUAGGCAGCGGUGGGGAAUAUUGCACAGUGGGCGGAAGCCUGAUGCGGCAACGCCGCGUGCGGGAUGACGGCCUUCGGGUUGUAAACCGCUUUCGCCUGUGACGAGGCGUUAGUGACGGUAAUGGGUAAAGAAGCACCGGCUAACUACGUG
rnacentral:rRNA from 1 species